rnacentral:rRNA from 1 species
GUACACGCUGUGACUAGCAUAUCAAUAAGCGGAGGAAAAGAAACUAACAAGGAUUCCCUUAGUAACGGCGAGUGAAGCGGGAAGAGCUCAAAUUUGAAAUCUUGAAAGGUCACCUUUCACGAAUUGUAGUUUAAAGAAGUGUUUUCUGUUACGAUCGUAAUAUAAGUUCUUUGGAAUAGGACAUCACAGAGGGUGAGAAUCCCGUCUAUGAUUGCGAUUUGUAGCUUUGUGAUACACUUUCAAAGAGUCGGGUUGUUUGGGAAUGCAGCCCAAAACGGGAGGUAAAUUUCUUCUAAGGCUAAAUAUUGGCGAGAGACCGAUAGCGAACAAGUACCGUGAGGGAAAGAUGAAAAGAACUUUGAAAAGAGAGUUAAACAGUACGUGAAAUUGUCAAAAGGGAAGCGUUUGACACCAGUGUUGUUUUCUCGAAAAUCAAUUAAAAAUGGCUCGAUUUUGUAUUGCUGAGACCUUAAAAGCUCACUGUACAUUUUUCGUGUCUUUUUUAAUGCACUUUUCGUUUAACAAGUCAACAUCAGUUUCUUUUGUUGUAAAAGGGCCAUUGGAAGGUGGCUUUCUUUUCGGAGAAAGUGUUUAUAGCCUUUGGCCUCUGCAAUCGGAGAGACUGAGGUCUGCAGCGUAGACUCUUCGGGGUUAGAUACAUUUGUGCUAAGUUAUAGCUUUUUAUAGACAACUUGUUGACUAUAAUUAGUCUUGUAGCUUACUCGCUUAUGCUAUUUUACCUACGCUUAGGAUGUUGAGUAGCGACAUACGCAC